rnacentral:rRNA from 1 species
UACGUAGGGCGCAAGCGUUAUCCGGAAUUAUUGGGCGUAAAGAGCUCGUAGGCGGUUUGUCGCGUCUGCCGUGAAAGUCCGGGGCUCAACCCCGGAUCUGCGGUGGGUACGGGCAGACUAGAGUGAUGUAGGGGAGACUGGAAUUCCCGGUGUAGAGGUGAAAUUCGUAGAUAUCGGGAGGAACACCAGUGGCGAAGGCGGCGAUCUGGGAAGAUACGUGACGCUGAGGUGCGAAAGCGUGGGGAGCAACAGG